GUGCCAGCCGCCGCGGUAAUACGUAGGGGGCAAGCGUUGUCCGGAAUGACUGGGCGUAAAGCGCGCGCAGGCGGUUUCCCAUGUCCUGGGUGAAAGACCGGGGCUCAACCCCGGGGGUGCCUGGGAAACGGGGGAACUGGAGGGUCGGAGAGGUCAGGGGAAUUCCACGUGUAGCGGUGAAAUGCGUAGAGAUGUGGAGGAACACCAGUGGCGAAGGCGCCUGACUGGACGAAACCUGACGCUGAGGCGCGAAGGCGUGGGGAGCAAACAGGAUUAGAUACCCUGGUAGUCCACGCGGUAAACGAUGCGUGCUAGGUGUCGGAGGGUACCACCUCCGGUGCCGAAGGAAACCCACUAAGCACGCCGCCUGGGGAGUACGGUCGCAAGACUGAAACUCAAAGGAAUUGACGGGGGCCCGCACAAGCAGUGGAGCAUGUGGUUUAAUUCGAAGCAACGCGAAGAACCUUACCAGGGCUGGACAGGGGCCGGACGGGCGCCGAAAGGCGUCUUCCCUUCGGGGCCGGUCCUCAGGUGGUGCAUGGUUGUCGUCAGCUCGUGUCGUGAGAUGUUGGGUUAAGUCCCGCAACGAGCGCAACCCUUGAUCGGUGUUACCAGCGCGUGACGGCGGGGACUCACCGAUGACUGCCGGUGACAAACCGGAGGAAGGCGGGGAUGACGUCAAAUCAUCAUGCCCCUGAUGUCCUGGGCGACACACGUGCUACAAUGGGCGGGACAACGGGACGCCAAGCCGCGAGGCGGAGCCAACCCCCAAAACCGCUCGUAGUUCGGAUUGCAGGCUGCAACCCGCCUGCAUGAAGCCGGAAUUGCUAGUAAUCGCGGAUCAGCAUGCCGCGGUGAAUCCGUUCCCGGGCCUUGUACACACCGCCCGUCACACCACGAGAGUGGGGAACACCCGAAGUCGGGGAGGUAACCCGCAAGGGAGCCAGCCGCCGAAGGUGGGCCUCGCGAUUGGGGUGAAGUCGUAACAAGGUAACC
rnacentral:rRNA from 1 species